GACGAACGCUGGCGGCGUGCUUAACACAUGCAAGUCGAACGGAGUUUAAAUCAGUAGUUUACUACAGAUUUAAACUUAGUGGCGGACGGGUGAGUAACACGUGGGCAACCUGCCCUAAAGAGGGGGAUAACACCGAGAAAUCGGUGCUAAUACCGCAUAAAAAUUAGAGCUUCGCAUGGAGCUUUAAAUCAAAAGGAGUAAUCCGCUUUAGGAUGGGCCCGCGUCUGAUUAGCUAGUUGGUGAGGUAGAGGCUCACCAAGGCGACGAUCAGUAGCCGAUCUGAGAGGAUGACCGGCCACACUGGAACUGAGACACGGUCCAGACUCCUACGGGAGGCAGCAGUGGGGAAUAUUGCACAAUGGGGGGAACCCUGAUGCAGCAACGCCGCGUGGAGGAAGAAGGUUUUCGGAUUGUAAACUCCUGUCUUUUGGGACGAUAAUGACGUACCAAAAGAGAAGCACGGCUAACACGUG
rnacentral:rRNA from 1 species